GAUCCUCUUGUCCUUCAUUCCACCGGAGUCUGUCUUAUGCCAACCAGAUUUCAGUGGAGUGAAGCUCAGGAGGCAUGGAG
ensembl:miRNA Mir205 microRNA mir-205